CGAGGACCGCAGACCGCGGAGGAACAGGAUUUCGGGUGGUGCAUUUAUAGAUUGGUCAGACUUGGAUGAAGCUACUUCACCUAUGUAUCCUACUGAAUUGUUGCAAGGCUACAACAAAAUAAUGAACAAAAGUAGUGAAUUUUAAAGACUUCAUUGAUACUAUGAUGAGCAACAUGGAACAUGUCUCUGAAAAAUUAU